rnacentral:tRNA from 1 species
AAGAGCGGUUAUAGUUUCAGUUACGUUGAAAAAGUCCUUUUUGGCGCUUUUU